rnacentral:rRNA from 1 species
CCUACGGGAGACAGCAGUGAGGAAUAUUGGUCAAUGGCCGAGAGCCUGAACCAGCCAAGUCGCGUGAAGGAAGACUGCCCUAAGGGUUGUAAACCUCUUUUAUCAAGGAAUAAAGUGACGCUGGUGUGUCUUUUUGUGUGUACUCUAUGAAUAAGCAUCGGCUAACUCCGUGCCAGCAGCCGCGGUAAUACGGAGGAUCCGAGCGUUAUCCGGAUUUAUUGGGUUUAAAGGGUGCUCAGGUGGGUUUUUAAGUCAGUGGUGAAAGUUUGAGGCUCAAAACUAAAAUUGCAAUUGAUACUGGCGGUCUUGAGUACAGUUGAGGUAGGCGGAAUUCGUGGUGUAGCGGUGAAAUGCUUAGAUAUCACGAAGAACUCCGAUUGCGAAGGCAGCUUACUAGUCUGCCACUGACGUUGAUGCUCGAAAGUGUGGGUAUCGAACAGGAUUAGAUACCCCAGUAGUC